AAAAACAUGCCAAUUUCCUAACAUUAAAUCAUAAUGAAUAAUAUGAUGACACUUCAAUAGUUGAUAUUAGAAAGAAUUACUAUUAGAAGAAUGGAUACAACUUUAGUUCAAAACAAAGCUUGAAGUCUUUAAUUUCUAUUAUGUUGUUUGGAAGUCUUCUGCAAAUUAAUUCUAAUGGGAUGAAAAUAGACUAGGAAGAAAAUAUCGUUGAAUUCCAUUGUAGGAUGAUCUACCAGAAGAAUUGCUAAACUUUAAGUGUCAAUAACUUUGCUAGUAUUGAAACAAAUGGAUUCAAUUUUAACUCAAAAUGAAGCUUAAAGCCUCUGUUUACUGUCGUAAUCUGAAAGUUUCCCUUACAUUGAUUAUGUCAUAUAUCAUCAUGAAUUAUCAUAAAAUAUGAUAUACUAUCAAAUCCACUAUUUCCAUUCUCAUGCCUCAAGUAGUACUUCCUAAAAUCAUAUUCGUAUUGGUUUGCACCGUUAUUGACAGUGUGGAUUCCACACUCCUAUCUGAAAUUUGUACAAUAUCUGUUGCAGUAACGAUCUGGAACUAGCUCAAAUCCAUCUGAAACCUUCGGCAUUCCAAGGCUAAGUUGCUGACUUUGUUCGUCCGGAGACAUAAAUUUUAACCGAAGAAAUCAAAACCGCCGAUUUCAGAAGCCUGAUUGAUAGUAUGAAGAAAUUCUUAGGUUUACUAGGAACAAUUGCGAUUGCCUAUAGCCUAAUGCUAUCGGUAGUUGAUGCAAAGAUAAACGAGAUGUCACGUAUGGGAACUGCGUAAAUACGACGAGUGGUGAUUCUGCUGGUAUGCAAGUACUGACUGGCGCUGCUAUCGGUGCCGGGAUUGGCAGUGUCGUUCCCGGUUUAGGCAACAUCAUAGGUGCAGCGGUCGGAUCUGUUAUAGGCGCAGCGGAAGCAGCUGUUGGUGAAAAAGCACCUGCAAAUGGUUGUGCGAAACCUAAAAAUUAAAAUCGCAAGGACUUAUACCUGAGUUCCCGAUAGUCUAG